rnacentral:misc_RNA from 1 species
UGGUUCUGGAAGGCAAGUUGGUUGAGUCACUAGUCGAACUUUGUCUUCGGCUAAUGAGUGACAACAUACUCGAUGUCCAAGGCAAUCUAAGUCAUCUUCCAAGUGGGGAGUUCGUUUUAGAUUUUCUAAAGCGAACGAUCUGCGGCAACAUCGGUGUCUCGAUGUUGUUGACCCGUCGAUGUUGCUGACCCGUCGAUGUUGCUGACCCGUUGAUGUUGCUGGCCCGUCUCCUGAUUUUGGAUCUCUUGUUUCGUUUGCCGGUGAUAUUCAUUAAAUGAUGUGGCUAUGGCAGGUUGCUUGGUGAUCUUAGUUCGACUUUGAUCUUAGUUUUCAGCUUAACCGGUUUUCUUCACGAGGCCCGCACUAUCGGUCUGAUUGUAUGGCAUGUUCUUGUUUGAUUGUUGCCUUACGAUUGUAUUGGUAGUGUGAUCGAUGACAUGAUGUGACUUGUUAAUCUUAAAACUUGUCACAACGAUUUGGCAUUGUCGCAUUUUUUGAUGAGUAUUGUUGAACGGUGAUGCAAGGGUUCCUCGCAUCGUUCGGUGCAUUCUGGGGUCA